UUCCAGUUGUAUGAAUUGGGAUGAGACCCUGAAAGACCCCCGAAGGGAGACCCUCACUCAAGUCUCGGGAACUUUGCGCACCCAGUGGGACACUGAGACCG
rnacentral:pre_miRNA from 7 species